GAUGAACGCUGGCGGCGUGCUUAACACAUGCAAGUCGAACGGGGUACCCUUGAUUGAGGAUUCGUCCAAAUGAUAGGAAUACCUAGUGGCGGACGGGUGAGUAACGCGUGAGGAACCUGCCUUGGAGUGGGGAAUAACAGUUAGAAAUAGCUGCUAAUACCGCAUAAUGCAGUUGGGUCGCAUGGCUCUGACUGCCAAAGAUUUAUCGCUCUGAGAUGGCCUCGCGUCUGAUUAGAUAGUUGGCGGGGUAACGGCCCACCAAGUCGACGAUCAGUAGCCGGACUGAGAGGUUGGCCGGCCACAUUGGGACUGAGACACGGCCCAG
rnacentral:rRNA from 1 species